UUUAAUCUCCAAUUUCAUUAAGGUAAGAAUACCAAUUUUUUUGGCAAACUCUAGAUUUUAAAUUGGAUACUUGAGUAAGGAUUAAUUGUGAACAUGAUUAUGGUGAUGAUAUAUUAACUUGAAAGAAUGGAUCUAUGGAAUAAGAUGUAAAUUAGAUUGGUGCAAGUGGGAAUUCAAGUUUCACUAGAUUAGAAUAAAGAAUUGUUUUUAUGUUUGGG
rnacentral:lncRNA from 1 species